AUUGAACGCUGGCGGAAUGCUUUACACAUGCAAGUCGAACGGCAGCACGGAGAGCUUGCUCUCUGGUGGCGAGUGGCGAACGGGUGAGUAAUAUAUCGGAACGUGUCCAAUAAUGGGGGAUAACGAGUCGAAAGAUUCGCUAAUACCGCAUACGCCCUACGGGGGAAAGCAGGGGAUCGUAAGACCUUGCGUUAAUGGAGCGGCCGACAUCUGGUUAGCUAGCUGGUGAAGUAAAGGCUCACCAAGGCGACGAUCAGUAGCUGGUUUGAGAGAACGACCAGGCACACUGGAACUGAGACACGGUCCAGACUCCUACGGGAGGCAGCAGUGGGGAAUUUUGGACAAUGGGGGCAACCCUGAUCCAGCCAUUCCGCGUGAGUGAAGAAGGCCUUCGGGUUGUAAAGCUCUUUCGCAAGGGAAGAAAACUUAUGAUCGAAUAAAUCAUGAGGUUGACGGUACCUUGAUAAGAAGCACCGGCUAACUACGUGCCAGCCGCCGCCGUAA
rnacentral:rRNA from 1 species